UACGUAUGGUGCAAGCGUUAUCCGGAUUUACUGGGCGUAAAGGGAGCGCAGGCGGCGCGCCAAGUCUGAUGUGAAACCCCGGGGCUCAACCCCGGGCAUGCAUUGGAGACUGGCGGGCUGGAGUGCCGGAGAGGUAAGCGGAAUUCCUAGUGUAGCGGUGAAAUGCGUAGAUAUUAGGAGGAACACCAGUGGCGAAGGCGGCUUACUGGACUGUAACUGACGUUGAGGCUCGAAAGCGUGGGGAGCAAACAGG
rnacentral:rRNA from 1 species